rnacentral:rRNA from 1 species
UACGUAGGUGGCAAGCGUUGUCCGGAUUUACUGGGCGUAAAGAGCUCGUAGGUGGUUUGUCGCGUUGUUCGUGAAAACUCACAGCUCAACUGUGGGCGUGCGGGCGAUACGGGCAGACUUGAGUACUGCAGGGGAGACUGGAAUUCCUGGUGUAGCGGUGGAAUGCGCAGAUAUCAGGAGGAACACCGGUGGCGAAGGCGGGUCUCUGGGCAGUAACUGACGCUGAGGAGCGAAAGCGUGGGGAGCGAACAGG